rnacentral:rRNA from 1 species
UACGUAGGGGGCAAGCGUUGUCCGGAUUUAUUGGGCGUAAAGAGCGUGUAGGCGGCCAGGCAGGUCCGUUGUGAAAACUGGAGGCUCAACCUCCAGACGUCGAUGGAAACCGCUUGGCUAGAGUCCGGAAGAGGAGAGUGGAAUUCCUGGUGUAGCGGUGAAAUGCGCAGAUAUCAGGAAGAACACCCGUGGCGAAAGCGGCUCUCUGGGACGGUACUGACGCUGAGACGCGAAAGCGUGGGGAGCAAACAGG